GAUGAACGCUGGCGGCGUGCCUAACACAUGCAAGUCGAGCGAACCCUUCGGGGUGAGCGGCGGACGGGUGAGUAACGCGUGGGUAACCUGCCCUAUACACACGGAUAACGUACCGAAAGGUACGCUAAUACGGGAUAAUAUUGUUGGAUGGCAUCUUCUAACAAUCAAAGCUCCGGCGGUAUAGGAUGGACCCGCGUCUGAUUAGCUAGUUGGUGAGGUAAUGGCUCACCAAGGCGACGAUCAGUAGCCGACCUGAGAGGGUGAUCGGCCACACUGGAACUGAGACUCGGUCCAGACUCCUACGGGAGGCAGCAGUGGGGAACAUUGCACAAUGGGCGAAAGCCUGAUGCAGCAACGCCGCGUGAGCGAUGAAGGUCUUCGGAUCGUAAAGCUCUGUCCUCAAGGAAGAUAAUGACGGUACUUGAGGAGGAAGCCCCGGCUAACUACGUGUCAGCAGCCGCGGUAA
rnacentral:rRNA from 1 species